AGGCAAGACCAAGCGCCAGAGCUCGAAGAGACGGAGAAAGUAAAUAUCGAGCUGACGAGGUGAAGGUGUUCGAAACAUUCGGCGGGGACCUUCCGGUGAUGCAUCAGACCGCAAAUUGGAAUCCAAAUGCAGAGAGUGAUCUCUGCCACAAAGAUCCAUUCGAUGCCAGC
rnacentral:ncRNA from 1 species